GUGCUUGCUUGACAGUGCAUAAAACUACAUUGGAAUGGCAUAGAGAUUAGCAUGUCCCUGGUGUAAGAAUGACACACAAAUAGAGGAAGCUUUCCACUUAAAA
rnacentral:snRNA from 1 species